GUCUUAUCAAGAGAGGUGGAGGGACUGGCCCAGUGAAACCCGACAACCGGCAUUUGAUUUUAAAAUGUGGCGGUGUUAAUUCCAGCAGAAGUUUUCUGAAAGAUAAGAG
rnacentral:ncRNA from 2 species